CUGGCGGCGUGCUUAACACAUGCAAGUCGAACGAGAAUCUGCGGAAAGAGGAUUCGUCCAAUUGAAGCAGAGGACAGUGGCGGACGGGUGAGUAACGCGUGAGGAACCUGCCUUUCAGAGGGGGACAACAGUUGGAAACGACUGCUAAUACCGCAUGACACAUCGGGGUCGCAUGGCUCUGAUGUCAAAGAUUUAUCGCUGAAAGAUGGCCUCGCGUCUGAUUAGCUAGUUGGUGGGGUAACGGCCUACCAAGGCGACGAUCAGUAGCCGACCUGAGAGGGUGAUCGGCCACAUUGGAACUGAGACACGGUCCAAACUCCUACGGGAGGCAGCAGUGGGGAAUAUUGCACAAUGGGCGAAAGCCUGAUGCAGCAACGCCGCGUGAGCGAAGAAGGUCUUCGGAUCGUAAAGCUCUGUCCUUGGGGAAGAUAAUGACGGUACCCUUGGAGGAAGCCCCGGCUAACUACGUG
rnacentral:rRNA from 1 species